GCAGGCGCGAAACCUUUACACUGCACGACAGUGCGAUAGGGGGAUCCCAAGUGCACAGGCAUAGCGCCUGUGCUUUUCGGUACCCCAAGGCGGUACCAGAAUAGGGGCUGGGCAAGACCGGUGCCMGCCGCCGSGGUAAUACCGGCAGCCCAAGUGAUGGCCGAUCUUAUUGGGCCUAAAGCGUCCGUAGCUGGCCGUACAAGUCCAUCGGGAAAUCCACCUGCUCAACAGGUGGGCGCCCGGUAGAAACUGUGCGGCUUGGGACCGGAAGGCGCGACGGGUACGUCCGGGGUAGGAGUGAAAUCCCGUAAUCCUGGACGGACCGCCGAUGGCGAAGGCACGUCGCGAGAACGGAUCCGACAGUGAGGGACGAAAGCCAGGGUCUCGAACCGGAUUAGAUACCCGGGUAGUCCUGGCCGUAAACAAUGUCUGCUAGGUGUGGCUCCCACUACGAGUGGGUGCUGUGCCGUAGGGAAGCCGCUAAGCAGACCGCCUGGAAAGUACGUCCGCAAGGAUGAAACUUAAAGGAAUUGGCGGGGGAGCACUACAACCGGAGGAGCCUGCGGUUUAAUUGGAUUCAACGCCGG
rnacentral:rRNA from 1 species